UAAAGAGGAAGACUGAGGAAAACAUGCAGAACCGUACUGCAGGAAAAGUUUCAGAAGAACAUGAGUUUGAGAAUGAAGGGUUUUGCAUUCUUUUUGCUGGCACUAUGUUGCUGUCUGUCUGGGACACAGGGUCAGGGAGACCACAAGGACCAGAAAGCAUGCUGCCCAUCUGACACUUGCUCUCUGAUGAAAGAACUGACAUCUAUAGCAGAGAAACUAGGAGCCAUGGGGGAGAAAUUGGGAACUAUGGGGGAUAACCUGAGACUCAUGGAGACCCGGUUACAAACCAGUGAGAAUGAAGUGGAGGAGCAGAAGAGACUAACUGGAGGUCGGCCUCAGGUGGCCUUCUCCGCAACUCUCUGGGAGACAGGGGAUGCCCCUGGGAACACAGGACCUUUCACCACUUCCAUUCCCCUGCAGUACAAGAAGGUCUUCUCAAACACCGGCAGCUCCUACAACCCUGCAACAGGUAUCUUCACUGCCACGGUCAAAGGAAUGUACUACUUCCAUUUCACGAUGAUGAACAACCUGAACACCCCUCCUAAUUCUGUGGUGUGUUUGACCAAGAAUGGCCAGAGGCUGGUGUCUGUCUGGGACACUGUAGGAACCGAUGCCCACGACAGUGGCAGCAAUGCAGUGGUCAUUCCUCUGGAGGUGGGAGAUAACGUCUAUGUUGAAUUACAGGCUGGUCCAUGAUGACAUCAUGAACUACAACACCUUCAGUGGAUUCCUGCUCUUCCCCAUGUAAACAUUGAACACAUUUCAACAGCUAAAAUGGUUGAAAUUACUUAAUUUUUUAUAUAAGGGUUGUAUUCAAUCCGUAUCGCAGAAGUUCCGCGUUGUAGCCCGAUUGCCUUUAAAUGUCAGUAUCAACUGCAUUUACAGCAAACCGGCUCGAUUGGAAAUUACGUUUAAGUUUCAAGCACGCGCAACGCAGAUUUUCAGCGAUAUGGAUUGAAUCCUGACAUUAAGUUAGUAGACAUAAAAUAGUCAUCUGUAGCACACAGUGGGGUUAUCAUGCUGUGAAAUUAUAUGCUUCCGGUCUUUUAUUGUCACACUUUCCACAAGGCUGCUGUUCCACCACAAGACAAACUCUUUUUCAAAAGAAUGUGUCAUCUGGUGGACAUAACUGUAAAAAUUCAAAGCCAUUGGUCUUAGAGGCAACUAUAAAAUGUUUGUACAGUAACGGUUCACUGAGAAAAAUACAAAAUAAUUCCAAAUUCAUAGCAGUUACAAUACAUGCACAUUAAACUUACAUCUGGCAAAUGUUUAACAA